rnacentral:rRNA from 1 species
UACGUAGGGCGCAAGCGUUGUCCGGAAUUAUUGGGCGUAAAGAGCGUGUAGGCGGCCAACUAAGUCCUGCGUGAAAUCUCGGGGCUCAACCCCGAGCGGUCGUGGGAAACUGGUUGGCUAGAGUGCGGGAGAGGAGAGUGGAAUUCCUGGUGUAGCGGUGAAAUGCGCAGAUAUCAGGAAGAACACCCGUGGCGGAAGGCGGCUCUCUGGAACGCAACUGACGCUGAGACGCGAAAGCGUGGGGAGCAAACAGG